ACACUGUAUUUUAUUUCCUAUCUAUGACUUUGCUACCUUGUCUCUCACCCAGGAGCUGGAGUGGAAAAAAAUGAGGACAUGGCCAUGCACUGGUUCAGGCAGGCUGCGGGGCAGGGCCACCCCCACUCCUCCUUCAACCUGGCGGUGGGGGCCCUCAGAAAUAUGACAGUGGCACUUGAAGAAGGGGAAGCAGAGAAACUCCUAAGCAUAGCAGCAGCCCACGGGCUCCGAGAAGCUCAGCAACUUCUGGAAAACCUUCUCAAGAGCAGAAGCCAUCCCUGAAUGACCACUGCAUCACCGGUGCUUGCCCAGCCUUGCUGCCUUCUGCACUUAGCCAGCCCACUUCCUCCUUGGCAGGUCUUUAGGCAUUUGAAUCAUUCAUUGGGCAUUACAUUUGCUUUGCACUGCAGCUCUACAGUCAGAUCUAUGGCAGUGAUGCGUUGCUGCUCCUUCUCCCUUUGCUUCCUGGCUCACCACUCCCGAACUGUGCUGAAAACACGGCAUGGAGGAGGAGGCAAAUAGCCCUCAGGGCUACAUAAUGAUGGGUGUAUGAAUGUUACUGAAAAAGUGUUGUACCAGCUGAUCCACUGGUACUAAGUUAGAUCCAAAUAUUGAUCUGGGCUUGGUGCAGUGCUGCUUGUGCAUUUGUGCUGUGUGGAUGCCGCAUUAUGCUUACACAUUGCAAUAAAUGGUCAGGACCGC